rnacentral:rRNA from 2 species
GCGACCUCAGCUCAGGCGGGGCC